GUGACUGCUGCUGAGCAGAAAGGGGUCCCCAUUUUCUGAGUGAGGGGCUUCUGUAACAUCGAGCUGAGACUAGCUUUGUUAGAUUUGAUGUUUCUAGGGAACAAGGACUGUUACCAGAAUGUUUUCUGCCACUCACUCAGUUCUGGUCAUCUUCUUAAUACUUGGAGGGACCAAUGGUGACUCAGUGAACCAGACAGAAGGCCCAGUGAGUGUCUCAGAGGGGGCUCUCAUGACCCUGAACUGCACUUACCAGGCCACGUAUUCAGAUCCCUAUCUUUUCUGGAUCCAUCAUGGCCCAGAAAGUAAUUCAAAACCAGUCAGAAAUUCCUGUGCUGGAGAAGGAGGAUGUAACCUUGAACUGUGCAUAUGAAGCUGUUAGUUAUUCUUAUUAUUUAUUCUGGUACAAGCAACCACCAAGUGGGGGAAUGAUUUUCCUUAUUCAUCAGGAGUCUUUCAAUGAACUGAAUACAACAAAAGGUCAGUAUUUUUUGAACUUCAAGAAAGCAACGAGUUCCAUCAGCCUCACCAUCACAGACUUACAGCUCGAGGACUCAGUGGUGUAUUUCUGUGCUCUGAGAGACCACAGUGAUGCUGGUGCCUGAGGGAGCCCCACAGAAACCUC